rnacentral:rRNA from 1 species
GACGAACGCUGGCGGCGUGCUUAACACAUGCAAGUCGAACGGAAAGGCCCUGCUUUUGUGGGGUGCUCGAGUGGCGAACGGGUGAGUAACACGUGAGUAACCUGCCCUUGACUUUGGGAUAACUUCAGGAAACUGGGGCUAAUACCGGAUAGGAGCUCCUGCUGCAUGGUGGGGGUUGGAAAGUUUCGGCGGUUGGGGAUGGACUCGCGGCUUAUCAGCUUGUUGGUGGGGUAGUGGCUUACCAAGGCUUUGACGGGUAGCCGGCCUGAGAGGGUGACCGGCCACAUUGGGACUGAGAUACGGCCCAGACUCCUACGGGAGGCAGCAGUGGGGAAUAUUGCACAAUGGGCGGAAGCCUGAUGCAGCAACGCCGCGUGCGGGAUGAAGGCCUUCGGGUUGUAAACCGCUUUCGCCUGUGACGAAGCGUGAGUGACGGUAAUGGGUAAAGAAGCACCGGCUAACUGCGUG